AGGCAGAGAGAGUGGGGGAGCGAGUCAGAGAGAGGGAGGGAAGAGAGGAAACAGCUCCUCUCCCGUUAAAGGAUGUCAAGUCUUCAGCUGAGAGCCGUUGAGGAGCACUGAUCCAUCCAUCCGUCCUGCUCGUCCAGAUGAAUCUCACCACUGCGACUCCACAGCCUCGGCACAGCCUUGUAGGUGGAGGAGACGAGGAGCUGCUCUGUGUCAUGAAGACGAAGGCUGAGUGGAGUGCACUGCAUACAAAGGUAGACUGAUGUUCAUAUUCUACUAUGGACGGUGUGUGGUACAGACUGACAUCGACUGGAGCAGAACAGGCCACGAGGACGAUUCAGCUCUACCAUAGGGCCCCACAAAAUCAUUUGAAGAAGUUGUUUCAGCGACCAACAUGUCAGCAAUUAACAGGUGGGUCGUCUGGUGCCACCAUCUCACAAACAGGUCACAAGAUGUGCUGGGCUCACCCUCCAUGAAUCCCAAGAAUCCCAUCACGCCCUAGGAGUUUAAAAGCUCCAAUCCAGCUCGAACUCAACCUCACAUGACUCCAGUUCCCAUCACCAACUUGACUCCAGUCCCUUGUUGUUCAGUCCUGCUGUUUCCACCCAGCGGUCUAGUUGUGACAGUGGCUUUCAAUGAGAAUCCAGUUGGCCUUCCCUCUCUUGUACCCCUCAUUAACGUUGGCCCCCAUGUCAGAGCCCUGGGCUGCAGAGGGGAAGGCUCUCAUGGUGUCUCUGAUGUACGGAGAGCCAGGUCUGAUCCCAGCCAUGAGGAGCCCACAGGUGGAGAGCCCUGUUUAAAAUUCCGCUCUGCAACGUGUCGGCUUUCUAAUCCACCGGGAUUGCAUUAUUAAACUUACACAAGCUCAUUUCCAUACAAAGCAGGAUAUCAGCGGCAGACAGUCAUGCAUAUUUAUUGCCGUGUGCCUGGCUUACGCACGAAUACACUCGCACAAUAACCCGCACGCAGGCAUAACUUAGUCGUGGUACAUAAGUGAGGAAGGAAACCGAGGUGCAUUCCUAAUGGUUUGAGCAUGAGAGGUCCUGAGUGAGGAUGGUCAGUGAAAUCUACAUGUCAAUCACCUGACAAACCGACACAUAAACAGGCAGUUUCUCACACGCAAACAGGGAAGAUGAGAUGAGUUACACUUUGAGAUCUGAAGGGAAGUGUUACUGAUAAUCUACACGCAGAGUCAUGCACACACGGUCCAGCCAAGCCUCCACUUGUCCAUGUUGACUGUUCCCUGCUAGUAGCUAGUUCCCUUAAUGUCCCUGUCUGUGUGUCUCCCCCCCGUCCCUACGUCCCUGCUGCCCCACUGUUCUUCUCCUCCUCCACUAGUUUCCGAGCACCGGUAUCUCCUCUCCUCCUCCCCCUCUUUUCUUCCUUGCCCUCCUUCAGGUGAUGUCCGUCCCUCCUCCUCCUCCUCCUCCUGUGAGAUUGCUGCUGUGUCUUAUGGCUUUUUAUUCCUACGUGAGGGUAGAUGUGUUCAUGUAGGGAUAGAAGCCACUAAACACACGGUGAGAGGUCAACGUGCAGGCCAGUAGAGCCAAGGCUUCCUUUUCCACACAAAGCAAAUAUCCUGCGGUGAAGUUAUGGUGGAGUUUACUAUCUAACUCUAGACCUACAUGCAACCGUUAAGUUACUUCUAAACGGGCCUCCCGGGUGGCGCAGUGGUCUAAGGCACUGCAUCGCAGUGCUAGCUGUGCCACCAGAGAUUCUGGGUUCGAGCCCAGGCUCUGUCGCAGCUGGCCGCGACCGGGAGGUCCAUGGGACGACGCACAAUUGGCCCAGCGUCGUCCGGGCUAGGGAGGGUUUGGCUGGCAGGGAUAUCCUUGUCUCAUCGCGCACUAGCGACUCCUGUGGCGGGCCGGGCACAGUGCACGCUGACACGGUUGCCAGGUGUACGGUGUUUCCUCCGACACAUUGGUGCGGCUGGCUUCCGGGUUGGAUGUGCGUUGUGUCAAGAAGCAGUGUGGCUUGGUUGGGUUGUGUGUUUCGGAGGACGCAUGGCUCUUGACCUUCGCCUCUCCCGACCUUCGCCUCUCCCGAGUACGGGAGUUGCAGCGAUGAGACAAGACUGUAACUACUACCAAUUGGAUACCACGAAAUUGGGGAGAAAAAAAGGGUGAAAACAAAACUAGUUCUAAACAGAAAUGCCAAACACAUAGGCCUAAACAGAAUGGCAACUCUCAAAGACCCACCAACAAAGGCCCAGUACUAAAGUACUGUAACAAAGCCAAAGAAGGUCCUAAGAUAUAGUCCAAAACAACCUUGUUCAAGCAAUCCUUAAGAAAAGGGAUGACAUUUCUCUGCUGACAAAUGGAUGGAAUACUUCAAGCUAAGGUAGGUCCACUACAGCCAUCUAAACUGAGGUGAGUUUCGUCCAGGUUCCCAACCCCAAAUAGGAUGAACAUUAGAAUACUGAGAUGAAUCAUUGUAAAGCGUGAAAUGUUAUUCUAUGUGCUUCAUAAAACCUACUUCUAGCUGCCAUCAUAGCUGACGUGUAAUAAUUCAACACCCUCACUAAUGUACAUGAAUGUUCACACUAUAAAUCUACAUCACAACACAUGAUAGGAGCAUCAAUUAUUGACAGUGUUUUCUAUAGACCUCAAAGCUUUCAGGGAGAAUGUGUUGGAAUAGAUUACUGCCAAUGGAUUCACUGCCUGAGGCUGUGUGUGGCUGUCUGUUUUCCUGAGUUGAGUUGAUGCAUUAAUAUAAAGUCUUUGUAUGUAUAUACAUGCAUCUCUGUCUUUUAAGAAUCUAUCUCCUGGCAGACUUUGAUUUUGCUGUAAUAAAUAAUGCUCUUUUGUGUUUUGUCUUGUUGCCGUUCUUCAUUUGUUUUCAUAUUUUCAAUGGUGCGAAUUGAUUAAUAAAUGAUGCAUUCAGCCAA